rnacentral:rRNA from 1 species
UACGGAGGGGACUAGCGUUGUUCGGAAUUACUGGGCGUAAAGCGCACGUAGGCGGAUUUGUAAGUCAGGGGUGAAAUCCCGGGGCUCAACCCCGGAACUGCCUUUGAUACUGCGAAUCUCGAGUCCGGAAGAGGUGAGUGGAAUUCCUAGUGUAGAGGUGAAAUUCGUAGAUAUUAGGAAGAACACCGGUGGCGAAGGCGGCUCACUGGCUCGUAACUGACGCUCAUGCACGACAGCGUGGGGAUCAAACAGG